GACGAACGCUGGCGGCGUGCUUAACACAUGCAAGUCGAAGAUCGUGGCGAACGGGUGAGUAAUACGUAGUAACCUGCCCUCCUUUUGGGGAUAAGCCUUGGAAACCGGGUCUAAUACCGAAUAAAGGGGGAUGGGCUCGCGGCCUAUUAGCUAGUUGGUGGGGUAAGGGCCUACCAAGGCGACGAUCCGUAACUGGUCUGAGAGGAUGACCAGCCACACUGGAACUGAGACACGGUCCAGACUCCUACGGGAGGCAGCAGUGGGGAAUAUUGGACAAUGGGCGAAAGCCUGAUCCAGCCAUGCCGCGUGUGUGAAGAAGGUCUUCGGAUUGUAAAGCACUUUAAGUUGGGAGGCGUUACCAACAGAAUAAGCACCGGCUAACUUCGUGCCAGCAGCCGCGGUAAUAC
rnacentral:rRNA from 1 species